AAUAGAUACCCAGGUAGUCCACGCCGUAAACGUUGGGCGCUAGGUGUGGGGUUCUUCCACGGAUUCCGCGCCGUAGCUAACGCAUUAAGCGCCCCGCCUGGGGAGUACGGCCGCAAGGCUAAAACUCAAAGGAAUUGACGGGGGGCCCGCACAAGCGGCGGAGCAUGUUGCUUAAUUCGACGCAACGCGAAGAACCUUACCAAGGCUUGACAUCGCCGGAAAACUCGCAGAGAUGCGGGGUCCUUUUUGGGCCGGUGACAGGUGGUGCAUGGCUGUCGUCAGCUCGUGUCGUGAGAUGUUGGGUUAAGUCCCGCAACGAGCGCAACCCUCGUUCCAUGUUGCCAGCACGUAAUGGUGGGGACUCAUGGGAGACCGCCGGGGUCAACUCGGAGGAAGGUGGGGAUGACGUCAAGUCAUCAUGCCCCCUCAUGUCUUGGGCUGCAAACAUGCUACAAUGGCCGGUACAGAGGGCUGCGAUACCGUGAGGUGGAGCGAAUCCCUUAAAGCCGGUCUCAGUUCGGAUUGGGGUCUGCAACUCGACCCC
rnacentral:rRNA from 1 species